rnacentral:rRNA from 1 species
UACGUAGGGUGCAAGCGUUAAUCGGAAUUACUGGGCGUAAAGCGUGCGCAGGCGGUUUUGUAAGCCAGAUGUGAAAGCCCCGGGCUUAACCUGGGAAUGGCAUUGGUGACUGCACGGCUAGAGUGUGUCAGAGGGGGGUAGAAUUCCACGUGUAGCAGUGAAAUGCGUAGAGAUGUGGAGGAAUACCGAUGGCGAAGGCAGCCCCCUGGGAUAACACUGACGCUCAUGCACGAAAGCGUGGGGGCG